CAGAUACUGACACUGAGGUGCGAAAGCGUGGGUAGCAAACAGGAUUAGAUACCCUGGUAGUCCGCGCCGUAAACGAUGUUAACUUGAAAUAUGCGUACUACGGUAUGUGUGUUUCGCAGCAAACGCCAUAAGUUAACCGCCUGGGGAGUACGAUCGCAAGGUUAAAACUCAAAUGAAUUGACGGGGGCCCGCACAAGCGGUGGAGCAUGUGGUUUAAUUCGAUGCAACGCGAAGAACCUUACCUGGCCUUGAGAUACCGGGAAUCCUGCAGAGAUGCGGGAGUGCCUUCGGGAACCCGGAUACAGGUGCUGCAUGGCUGUCGUCAGCUCGUGUUGUGAGAUGUUGGGUUAAGUCCCGCAACGAGCGCAACCCUUAUCCUCUGUUGCCAGCACUUCGGGUGGGAACUCAGAGGAGACUGCCAGUUAUAAACUGGAGGAAGGCGGGGAUGACGUCAAGUCAUCAUGGCCCUUACGGCCAGGGCUACACACGUGCUACAAUGGGGCGUACAGAGGGAAGCCAAGCCGUGAGGCGGAGCGGAUCUCACAAAGCGUCCCGUAGUUCGGAUUGAAGUCUGCAACUCGGCUUCAUGAAGUCGGAAUCG
rnacentral:rRNA from 1 species